AUCCGGCUAACGAGUCCCAAAUAGGACGAAAUGAGCGUUCUGGAU
rfam:Schistosoma haematobium C9651422_1, whole genome shotgun sequence.